UGGCUCAGGACGAACGCUGGCGGCGUGCUUAACACAUGCAAGUCGAACGAUGAACCCACUUCGGUGGGGGAUUAGUGGCGAACGGGUGAGUAACACGUGGGCAAUCUGCCCUGCACUCUGGGACAAGCCCUGGAAACGGGGUCUAAUACCGGAUACGACCACUUCAGGCAUCUGAUGGUGGUGGAAAGCUCCGGCGGUGCAGGAUGAGCCCGCGGCCUAUCAGCUAGUUGGUGAGGUAACGGCUCACCAAGGCGACGACGGGUAGCCGGCCUGAGAGGGCGACCGGCCACACUGGGACUGAGACACGGCCCAGACUCCUACGGGAGGCAGCAGUGGGGAAUAUUGCACAAUGGGCGAAAGCCUGAUGCAGCGACGCCGCGUGAGGGAUGACGGCCUUCGGGUUGUAAACCUCUUUCAGCAGGGAAGAAGCGAAAGUGACGGUACCUGCAGAAGAAGCGCCGGCUAACUACGUGCCAGCAGC
rnacentral:rRNA from 1 species